GACGAACGCUGGCGGCGUGCUUAACACAUGCAAGUCGAGCGGUAAGGCCCUUUCGGGGGUACACGAGCGGCGAACGGGUGAGUAACACGUGGGUGACCUGCCCUCAGCUCUGGGAUAAGCCUGGGAAACUGGGUCUAAUACUGGAUAUGACUCCACGGUGCAUGUCGUGGGGUGGAAAGCCUUGUGCGGCUGAGGAUGGGCCCGCGGCCUAUCAGCUUGUUGGUGGGGGAUGGCCUACCAAGGCGACGACGGGUAGCCGGCCUGAGAGGGCGACCGGCCACACCGGGACUGAGACACGGCCCAGACUCCUACGGGAGGCAGCAGUGGGGAAUCUUGCGCAAUGGGCGAAAGCCUGACGCAGCGACGCCGCGUGAGGGAUGACGGCC
rnacentral:rRNA from 1 species